GUGUCAGCAGCCGCGGUAAUACAGAGGUCCCAAGCGUUGUUCGGAUUCACUGGGCGUAAAGGGUGCGUAGGCGGUCGGGUAAGUCUGAUGUGAAAUCUCGGGGCUUAACCCCGAAACUGCAUUGGAUACUAUUCGGCUUGAGGAAUGGAGGGGAGACUGGAAUGCUCGGUGUAGCAGUGAAAUGCGUAGAUAUCGAGCGGAACACCAGUGGCGAAGGCGAGUCUCUGGACAUUUCCUGACGCUGAGGCACGAAAGCCAGGGGAGCAAACGGGAUUAGAAACCCCGGUAGUCC
rnacentral:rRNA from 1 species